rnacentral:rRNA from 1 species
GACGAACGCUGGCGGCGUGCUUAACACAUGCAAGUCGAACGGAAAGGCCCUGCUUUUGUUGGGUGCUCGAGUGGCGAACGGGUGAGUAACACGUGAGUAACCUGCCCUUGACUUUGGGAUAACUUCAGGAAACUGGGGCUAAUACCGGAUAGGAGCUCCUGCUGCAUGGUGGGGGUUGGAAAGUUUCGGCGGUUGGGGAUGGACUCGCGGCUUAUCAGCUUGUUGGUGGGGUAGUGGCUUACCAAGGCUUUGACGGGUAGCCGGCCUGAGAGGGUGACCGGCCACAUUGGGACUGAGAUACGGACCAGACUCCUACGGGAGGCAGCAGUGGGGAAUAUUGCACAAUGGGCGGAAGCCUGAUGCAGCAACGCCGCGUGCGGGAUGACGGCCUUCGGGUUGUAAACCGCUUUCGCCUGUGACGAAGCGUGAGUGACGGUAAUGGGUAAAGAAGCACCGGCUAACUACGUG